rnacentral:rRNA from 1 species
AUUGAACGCUGGCGGCAGGCUUAACACAUGCAAGUCGAACGAGUGGCGGACGGGUGAGUAAUGUCUGGGAAACUGCCCGAUGGAGGGGGAUAACUACUGGAAACGGUAGCUAAUACCGCAUACCAUCGGAUGUGCCCAGAUGGGAUUAGCUAGUAGGUGGGGUAACGGCUCACCAAGGCGACGAUCCCUAGCUGGUCUGAGAGGAUGACCAGCCACACUGGAACUGCGACACGGCCCAGACUCCUACGUGAGGAAGCAGUGGGGAAUAUUGGACAAUGGGGGAAAGCCUGAUGCAGCAAUGCAGCGUGUAUGAAGAAGGCCUUCGGGUUGUAAAGUACUUUUGGCAGAGAAGCGUUAUUUGCAGAAGAAGCAUCGGCUAACUCCGUGCCAGCAGCCGCGGUAAUUC